rnacentral:tRNA from 1 species
GGUGGUCUAGUGGUCAAGAUUCUGCACUGUCACUGCUGUGGCCUGGGUUAGUUUCCCAGUC